rnacentral:rRNA from 1 species
AUUGAACGCUGGCGGCAGGCCUAACACAUGCAAGUCGAACGAGUGGCGGACGGGUGAGUAAUGUCUGGGAAACUGCCUGAUGGAGGGGGAUAACUUCUGGAAACGGUCGCUAUUACCGCAUACCAUCAGAUGUGCCCAGAUGGGAUUAGCUUGUGGGUGGGGUAACGGCUCACCAAGGCGACGAUCCCUAGCUGGUCUGAGAGGAUGAGCAGACACACUGGAACUGAGGCACGGUCCAGACUCCUAGGGGAGGCAGCAGUGGGGAAUAUUGCACAAUGGGCGCAAGCCUGAUGCAGACGUGCCGCGUGUAUGAAGAAGGCCUUGGGGUUGGAAAGUACUUUCAGCGGGGAGGCGUUACCCGCAGAAGAAGCACCGGCUAACUCCGUGCCAGCAGCCGCGGUAAUAC